GGGGUUGUGGCUCAGUGGUAGAGCACUUGCCUAGCAUAUGUGAGUCACUGAGUUCGAUUCUCAGCACCA
rnacentral:tRNA from 1 species